rnacentral:rRNA from 1 species
AACCAGAUGUAUAUAUUUUUGGCGAUUUCUGCUCAAUGGUAAUUAAAUAGCCGCAGUACUUUGACUGUGCAAAGGUAGCAUAAUAAUUUGGCUUUUAAUUGGAGUCUGGCAUGAAUGAAAAAAUGGGGAAAUACUGUGUCAAUCAAAUAUCUUAAAUUUGCUAAUAAGGUGCAAAUACCUUAGGUAAUAUAAUAGACGAGAAGACCCUUGAAAUUUAAAGUAUUAUUUUGUUGGGGCGACAGAGUAGCAAGUAACCUACUUUAUAAAUAUGUAUUAUAUUUAAAGAAAAAAUAAAUUACUCAAGGGAUAACAGCAUAAUUAUUAUUAGUUUGUGACCUCGAUGUUGGAUUAGGAACAUCUAACCCAGAAGGUAAAGAUUUUCGCUCUGUUCGAGCAUAUCUUCCUACGUGAUCUGGUUCCCGAAACCCGGA